rnacentral:lncRNA from 1 species
GUCUUCAGUCUUGCUCAUUUCCCAGAUAUUGCUCUUUUCUUUCUUUCCUUUUUUAAAAACAGCUCUAGAACUCUCGAUCGCAGCCAUGCCUGAGUGGGCGCGCAGCAGAGUUUAGGCGGUUUGGGGUGCUAAUUAAUUCAGGUGCAGAAGAGCAGCCCAGUCAGGCGAAGCUGGCACCUGGCCCAUGUGUGAGUGGUGACUCACCUGCUGGAAGACAAUCUGGGGACCGUAUAGCUUGAAUAGCAACAAAUACUUGGCUUGAUUCAUGCGUGGAUGUUUACGGAUUAUCUAGAAGGAAAGCUGGAGCCGGGAUGAUUCCUAAAUAGGAUGUCCUACCAAAUUGGCUUCCAGGCUGUUACAAUGGCUCAAUGCAAAGAUUUGGCACUAAGCCUAACUAACAACCCGAGUCUCAUCCUUGGAACUGUUUAAAAAAGAUUUUGUUUUGGAGUGGAGUGGUUGCUCAUGCCACACCUUUGAUCCCAGCACCCAGAAGGCAGAGGCAGAGAUGGUUAAAACCCACACAAGGAAACAGACCCAUGAGUGGAGUAUGCCAAGAAACAGUUGAGCCGGAACCACAGCCAAGCCAAAUAAUCUCUGAUCUCGAAAGAAGAUGAGGAUACGGGAGGCACAGUUAAAGGCCUUGCAGGAAAGGCAGGUGAAAGCUGGGUUUGGGCAACCAAGAGAAACUGUGCUGCUUCCCCAGGUCACUGCUGAGGAGACGCAGAGAGGUCAGCUCCAGGGUAGAACAGACUCAGA